UACGGAGGGUGCAAGCGUUAUCCGGAUUCACUGGGGUUAAAGGGUGCGUAGGCGGGCAGGUAAGUCCGUGGUGAAAUCUCUGAGCUUAACUCAGAAACUGCCAUGGAUACUAUUUGUCUUGAAUGUUGUGGAGGUAAGCGGAAUAUGUCAUGUAGCGGUGAAAUGCUUAGAUAUGACAUAGAACACCCAUUGCGAAGGCAGCUUACUACACAAAUAUUGACGCUGAGGCACGAAAGCGUGGGGAUCAAACAGG
rnacentral:rRNA from 1 species